CACCAAACACAGAAAUUAAUAGUUAAUAGAGUGUUGUAUUGUGGGUAAGUGUGUUGUAAGUCAAAGUAUUUGUGGGAAACGAGUGGAAAGCCGCAGACAGAUUCAGCGUAAAAGACUCAAACGGUGUCCAGAGAUGUAGCGGGAAUUGUGUGAGUGUAGAAGUUGUGUGUGGAAGGUUAGGGCUCCACCUCUGCAGCCACAUGUUCCCCUGCUGACUGAGGAUCGAAUCCUGCCAGAACGGACUGUGUGUCCCUCUCAGCCUCCCUACUGUCUCCACAGAACGAGAGCAAAUUGGAGAGAGAGAAAGAGAGAGAGAUGCCAUCCCUGAGGGGUCUCAACCUGCUGCCGUUGGAAAAAGAUCCUGGACAUGCAGAGAAGCUCUGAAGAGGCCUGUGAAGCCUGCGCAGGAGCAGUGAGCAGUGCUGAUGCACAGAAGCUGACCACCUAUGGGAACACUAAUAUCUACAACCAAUUAUCUUCCAGUUACCUGCUUGCCUUUACUUCUCUCCGGCGUGUUACCUUUUCCCUCUAUAUUUCAUCUGGAUGUGUGCCCU